UACGUAGGCAGCAAGCGUUGUUCGGAGUUACUGGGCGUAAAGGGUGCGUAGGCGGCUUUUUAAGUUUGGUGUGAAAUCUCCCGGCUCAACUGGGAGGGUGCGCCGAAUACUGAGAGGCUAGAGUGUGGGAGAGGAAAGUGGAACUCCUGGUGUAGCGGUGAAAUGCGUAGAUAUCAGGAGGAACACCGGUGGUGUAAACGGCUUUCUGGACCAUAACUGACGCUGAGGCACGAAAGCGUGGGGAGCAAACAGG
rnacentral:rRNA from 1 species